GACAAUUUUACUCCUCAAGGGGAGAGUACUCACUGGGUUAAUUAAUCUAUGUGGUGUUGGCUAAUUAAUGGGUUAAAAAGCAAUGGAUUAUUUUGCUUCUUGAAACUGUUUUUGAACCCAACGGUGCAGAAUUUGAAAGGUUGGGGGGCACCACAAAAAAAGGAACAUCUGUCAAUGUGUUAUGAGCUGGUCAUUAUUAUGUUAUUUGG